UGAAAAUAAUCAUGAAAUUAUCUUGCCAAGAGUGAAAUCUUAGAGGAGGGGACUUCCAAGCUUUUCUUUCUUUCCCAAUUUUAGUUGUUUUUUUUAAGGUGUAAGAUCUGGGACUACAUUGUAUUUUCUGUAAAUUGUACAGAGCAAGUAUGUGGUGACUUUUCUUCCCUCAGAUUUUAAUCUACUGGAUGUGCCCAUAAAGUUUGCCGGAAUAACAGCUGGUUCUGGAAGCUGUUGGAAAUAUGAGCUAUAGAAAGGUAUAUCAUCAUGGCACUUAUUAGCCACUGGAGAAGCCAGAAUUAUGUCAGCAAUACAAGCAGCCUGCUACUCAUUGGAUGACACCCUUUGUGAUGUUCCUGACACUGCCAGCAUCACCUAUUACAGAUUUAUAGCUUCCUUCAGCUGCAAAAAAAAAAAAAAAAGGAUCAAAAAAACCCUUUUCUUGUUCUUAUCUACUAAGCAAAUGAAUAUUAUAAUCUACAAAGAAAUGUGCUGAAUUGAUUACGUCCUCAUUCAUUUAUUCACUCGUGUCACAAAAAUUAACUGAAUUCCAAACAUGGACCAAGUACUAAAUUCAUUUUUAAAAAUUUAAUGAAUAAAAUGAGUAGAUGCAUAGGUGAACAAAUGAAAAACUACUGUGAUUACCCUUUUGUAGAAUAAAUGUGAAUUAUUCUCAAAGUAGAGAGGCUUAACACAGAAGACAAGGUAGGGAAGAAACUUCUACCAGUUUAAAGAACCCUAAGAGGACAGAGAAGGGACAUUUAGUUCUGAGAUAUCAAUGUUAGCACUGUGUUCCAGAUUCAGAAGCUGUCAUUACUUGAGAGGAGAAGGAAGAAACAAAACAAAAUGUUAUUAACAGUGAUGACAACAUGUAAGUCUACUUGGUUCUACCAUAAAUAUUAGUAUAGACUUUCCUAUUUUCAAACUAAUGCUGAUUAUAACUUUAUCAGUUUAGCUUACCACAACCCUGAAGAGGUUUACAUUGCAAUCAUUCCACUCUACCUAUUAAAAACUGAUUAUUUUGCAACU